rnacentral:rRNA from 1 species
GUAGGUGGCAAGCGUUGUCCGGAAUUAUUGGGCGUAAAGGGCUCGCAGGCGGUUUCUUAAGUCUGAUGUGAAAGCCCCCGGCUCAACCGGGGAGGGUCAUUGGAAACUGGGGAACUUGAGUGCAGAAGAGGAGAGUGGAAUUCCACGUGUAGCGGUGAAAUGCGUAGAGAUGUGGAGGAACACCAGUGGCGAAGGCGACUCUCUGGUCUGUAACUGACGCUGAGGAGCGAAAGCGUGGGGAGCGAACAGGGAUUAGAUACCCUGGUAGUCCACGCCGUAAACGAUGAGUGCUAAGUGUUAGGGGGUUUCCGCCCCCUUAGUGCUGCAGCUAACGCAUUAAGCACUCCGCCUGGGGAGUACGGUCGCAAGACUG